ACAUUCAGUAGUACUUAGAAGAGUACAUGGCAUAAGAGUGUUUGUGAUGGGACGUAGAUUAUGCGGGAGGAUGGAUAUUUUUGCGUUUUGACAAUUUUAUCUUUUUAAAUUCUGCAGGUGUAUGGAAUUUCAUUGACAAUUGGUAGGAAAGAAAAUUACCGAUGGCCGAUUUAUUCGAUAUAGCAAAUUUAAUUACGACGGUGGGUGUAGACGCGGUUAAAAUUAAAUCGGAGCCAGGGUUACCCGAAAAAUCGUCAAAUGAAAUUUUGACCGAACUUUUUAGUACGUUUGACGCCGAUGAAGGAAUAAUUUCACCUGGAAGCGGCGAUAACGAGAUUGCCAAAGAUAUCAGUGUAAAGAGCGAAAAAUCGGAUAAGCUUAAGAAGAAAAAGAGCAAGAAGAAGCACAAGCAUAAGGAUAAAAAACACAAGAAGAAAACUAAGAAACAUUCGUCCGAUAGCGACAGCGAGGCUGAAGAUGGCUCGAAGAAGCGAAAAAAACAUAAAAAGAAAUCUAAACGCAAGCGAGAUACUUCGUCGAGUCGAACUUCCGAAUCGGAUGAGCAGAAACGAAAAGUACAAAAGAUUGAUAGUGAUGGCUUUAAGAAGAACUCCAAAAUAAGUGAAAACUACUUGAAUGAUGAAUUUGAUGCAACUACUAAUGGUAAUGCGAAUAAGAACGUUUCAAAGCUUGCAGAAAAUUCUUUGAUCAAAACAGAGCCAGGAUUAGCAAUGCCUGAGCAUUCAGUGCAUCAACAACAUGAGGCACUUUUGGAACCAUCAAGUCCCCGGCAACCUUUCGUAGCAAGUAAAACUAACAAGGAUAACUUGGAGGACAUAGUCAUGCCAAGAUUACUUGAAAAUCCGAAGCAGGGAGCAGCAGGAAAAAUUCUUAUCAAGGAUCUGAAGCAUAGCGUGGUUUACAGUGAAGUCGUGAAAGAAGUUGAGGACAAGGCAAGAGAAAAGGCUGCUCGCAUGGAAGAUGGCGAACUGUCUGACAGCAGUGGCAACGAUAGAACUCCAACGCUGAGUCCAAGUCCCUCAUCAUGCGAUAAUCAUGGAACGCCAUCCUUGAGUCCAGAAUCAAAUAGAUCAAUUGUGAGAACGCCAAGUCCAAUGCUAAGGCUGCAGCAAGUGGGUGUAACACUAAGAAAUGAUCUGCGGAUGAUUUUAAAGGAGAAGGAAAAGAAGCGUCGGGAGGAAAUAAAGUCCAAGUUGAGAAACGGCAAACAGGAAAGAGAAGACAAGACACGUAGAGAUUCCAACGACAAAGGUCACGAAGAAAAACAUCACCGCAAAAGCGGGUCUCGUGAGAGAAAAAGAUCCAAGUCAAAAAGCCAUUCCAGAUCUCAGCGCAGCAGGAGUAAAGGCAAGGAAAGAUCUAGGGAAAAAAGCAGAGACAGACGAGAUAGGGAGAGAAGCAGAGAUAGGUGGGAUCACGAAUGGAACAGGGAUAGACGGAAAAUCAGCAAAGACGGAGACAAGGAUAGGUACAGAAGCAGGAGUCGGGAUAGAAGCAGAGACAGGCGCAAUAAUCGUGGAAGAACGCGGAGCCGAGAAAGAAAAGAAAGAAUAGAAAUUGACAAAAAAAAGCUGCUCGAAAUCGCUAGAAAGAAUGCUAUAAGUAUGAUUCAGCAGGGAACACUUCCACUUGCUCAACAAGACAAAGUGAUUGCCGCUAUUCAAGCUGGAGGAAAGUCGGUCGACGAACUCACAGAUUUUUGCAAAUCCCUAUCAAAAUCCGAAGCCUUGGGUGAACUGUCCAGCAUAUCUUCAGACGACGAUGGCAGUAAUUCUGAAAAAGGCUUUCAUCAUCCUUUCCUUGUCAAAGAUAGGCCCAAUUCAAUAAUCAUGAAUAUUCGGGAUGCAAAACAGUUACCAACAAAAACAUUCCAAGAAAAAGCGGCAGAGUCGUCGACCCAGUUACGAUUACAAUUUCCAGUUUCUAGUGGACAACAUCACAGAAAAACUGAGAACGAGUGGGUACCAGUUAACCCAAAGAAGCCCGAACCAAAGAAGCCAACUGCUCCAGUGACAGCUCCACCUGAGCCGCUUGCAAUAAUGCCAGCGCCAACACAAUCGCCAGCACCUGUACCUGUGCCUGCGCCUAUACCUACACCUGCCCCCACACCUGCACCACAAUCGCCUGUAUUUUCACAGCCUUCCCUAUUGAAGAAUGUUGAUAUAGGCUGCAUCGUAUCUCAGAGAUUAGCCGCGAUGAGAAAACUCAGAGAAAAUCCAAACGACGUCCAAGCAUUGAAUGAAAUGUACAGAGCUCAAAAUGGGAUGAAAAGUUGGGCUGAGAGUAAACAGAUGCCAGGUCAGUUCACGGGUAGCACUGGAGUCAAAGUGCUAUCAGCCUCUGAACUAUCUGCUGGCUAUCAAGCAUGGGCCCGUAAGAGUUGACGAGCUGAGACUAGUUAGCACUGGUCUGUAUCCACCUGAGGGUUUGUUACAGGCACAUAGCUACAUUGGAGAAGAAACGACCUUCGCAGCGCAGUGCUCAUUGAUCUUUGUUUGAUGAGUGAGAAAGGUUACAUUUCUUCAUUACUUUAUACUCAAGUAUCACACAACCGCUCUCUAGAUGAAUUUCUCCUGAGAUGAAUUGAGACUUGCUUCAGUUCCUGAUCAAUUGCUAACUGCACAACCUGUCUCUGGUGGAAUGGGAAUGGCGCUACUGCAAAAAAUGGGAUGGAGACCUGGUGAGGGUUUAGGCAAAAAUAAGGAAGGCACUUUAGUGCCAUUACAGUUGGAAGUAAAG
rnacentral:misc_RNA from 1 species